UGUAACAGCAACUCCAUGUGGAAGUGCCCACUCAUUCCAGUGGGGCUGCUGUUAUCUGG
rnacentral:pre_miRNA from 1 species